AGUGGAGGAUGCUGGGAACUGUAGUCCUGUCCUAUCGCCACCUGCACCCGCCUGACUGCUCCAGGACUGGAAGAUAAGACUCCACCCCGCCCACUGAGGUGGGUCCUACCGCAAAGUAAUGUUUUUACCCCAUUCUUGGAACCUGCUUCUGAGAAGUGAAGAGCCUUUGGAUGAAAGCAGAGAGGGAAAACCGCAUUUGAAAGGCUUUUUGCUGCAGGUGGGUUGCUGUAUAAACGAAGACGAGGACCUCCAAGGGGUCGAGGGCUAAGGACAGGUGAGCAGCCUAUGGUGCUGAAGAAGGUUCACACAGAAACCCGUUUAGAGCAUGGGGUUCAAAGUCAAGAAGAAGAGCACCGAAGCUUAUCAAGGGACAAAGGAAACCAGAAGCCUUCAGGCCUCUGAUGCAGUGUCACUGAAGCAGUGGGUAAGAUGGCAGAAAGAAGAGAGAAUCAGGCCCGGCUGUGGUGGCGCACACCUUUAAUCCCAGCACUCGGGAGGCAGAGCCAGGCGAAUCUCUGUGAGUUCGAGGCUAACCUGAUCUACAGAGCGAGUUCCAGGACAGGCACCAAAACUACACAGAGAAACCCUGUCUCAAAAAAAAAAACCUUUGUUUUGUUUUGCUUUUUAAGUGCUACUGUCUGAUCAAUAGAGUACAAGUGCCCAAUAGAAGAAAGUUCUGGAAUCUAGAAAGUCCUUGACUGCCUUUAAGCCAAGAGCUUCAGGAAACAGAGACGCUAUUGGCCCACUCAACACUGAAGUAGAAACUCUGUCGGAGCCAUGAGAUCGGGGCUUCAGAUGAAUUACUCCACCUGCAGACCUCACUCUGCAUGGUGCUGCAGGACAAUAAAAAUGGCCCUCAGGCUAAAGGCAGUAUGUCAUUCUUAAUAAUAAAUAGAAAAUGUUGGGUC